CCACCAGCUCCAUCACACUGGACCUAGUGCAGUCACACUUCAAGAACUUUAGACGCCUGACUGAGAAUUUGGGUUUAACCCUACUGUCUACUUGGUUAAAGGUAUUGUGUAUGGAAAUCCUGGGCACCGUGACCAAGUUCCAUACAUCACUGUCUGGCAACACUGGUGGUGAGUCCCCCCCCCCCCCAAUCUGGCUAAGACCCUCAUACCCCCUACCCCAGUGAUCUUACAGGUUAAGAAGCCGUAGCCAUCAAAGAAUCAUAAGCCAGAAAUCCUACCUGUCUCAGCUCCAGUAGAAGACUUCUUUCCACAUCCUUAUUACUCUGUCCUGGUAUAGAUCCCUCCCUUGCAAAUGGAUCCCGGCCCUGGGGAAGCAGGAGAGAACACAGCUAGCCCUCCUCACGCGGGAGCCCACACAGCAAGAUCCAUACAAUUGUGCUGCCCUUGUGGGUGGCUAGCCCUACCCUACCCCGUCCUCAUGGGCGAGUAGAUGGUACAGGACACACAUCCCCUUUUCUGAACUAUACAACUGGAAGAUGCAGAAUCCCGCAUUUUCAAAGAAACCUUCCGUCCUCAUAGACACAUUAGACUCUGUAAUGGCUACUCAUGAACCCAGUGAGGAUGACUGCCAACAGCUCUUGCAGGUGCUCUUCAUGACUGCGAAAUAAGAACAGGCAACAGAGACAGCCCAGAAACUUCUUCUGUGUGCAAAGGCUAGCCCACCACUGUACAAGCCAACACUCAUGCAGCUUUUCCCAUGGUCCGUCCUCACUAGGAUCCCACCAACCCUUUGGGUGAGGAGAGGCAAAAGUCUAUUGCCAGAUUCUUAUGAGGGGUCUCUGUGAGGCCCCUGGGAGGCAAACCAAUUUGUCUAAGAUAGGACAAGCUAUGCAAGGUUAGGAGGAGACUCCAGGGCUAUUUCUCAAGAGGUUGCUGGAAGUCUGCCACACCUAUAUGCCUCUGAACACAGAGGCAAGGGAAAACCAAUCUGCUGUGAACCGGGUAUUCACAGGUCAACCAGGUAGUGUAAGACAUCCACAGAAAACUCCUGUGGCUGGAAGGAUUUGAAGGUAGGUGCAUGGCUGAGCUCCUAGCUCUAGCCAAAAAAGUCUUUAACAACAGGAAGGCGCUGGAGGACAGGCAGACAAGGGAAUCUGUGAAGGUAUUGCUAGCAGAUAUUGGAAGAGAGGGAUCUGAUGCCCAAGAGUUGAAGAAUAUAGCAUAUGGAGAAGGAGUGAGGAAGCAGACCCUUCCCAGAAAAGAUGGACGAUCUCAUCUGGAGGGGAGGCCCCGUCUCCGGAAGGAUAGGUAUGCAUACUAUAGACAAACAGGCCACUGGAAGAAAGAAUGCUCAAGAGACGUAAAAGGCAGAAUCAAAGGUGUUGGAGAUAAAAGAACUGCGUGACUGAGGGUGUUGGGGUUCACAUCCCUUCCAUGAGCCCUGGGAACCCUAAAGGCAGAGGGAAAGCCAAUAGAUUUCCUGGUAGAUACUGGGGCAUAACAUUCAAUCCUGAAACAAUCCCAUAAAAAAUCAUGGGUCCAAGGGGCUACUGGGACUGAUCAAUAUUCAUGGCCUACCCAAACAAAAGUAGAUCUAGGAACAGGAUGUGUAACUUGCUCUUUUAUGGUGACCCCAGGCUGCCCAUAUCUGCUCUUAGGCAGAGACCUCCUAAUCAAAGAGGGGCACAGAUCCAUUUCAGUCCUGAGAGAGUACAGGUACUAAACAAAAAUGGCCCCAUACAUGUACUGACUGUGACAUUAGAAGACUAUAAACUGUAUACGCACUUCACCUAGACAUUAAUACCUAGAGAGGUUAUGGGAAGUAAUCCCAGGGCUAUGGGCUGAGAAGAAUCCCUCAGGGCUGCCUAGACAUCUUGUCUUGGUGCACUAAAGGUCAAUGCCAACCCAGCCAGAGUCUGCCAAUAUUUCAUGCCUAGGGAGGCAAUAUUGGGAAUAGAGCCACACAUAAUUCGACUCUGGGAGCAGGGGAUACUGGUCCCUUGCCAGUUGGCCUGGAACACACCCCUCUGGCCAGUAAGAAAACCCCACUCCAAUGACUACCAGCCCAUAGGAGACUUAAGGGAAGUCAACAAAGGCAUAGAGGAUAUUCAUCCCACCAUCCCUGAUCCUUACACCCUACUGAGCAGUCUGCUUCCUAAACAAGAUGUCUGUACUGUAUUGGACCUUAAGAGUGCCUUCUUCAGUGUGCCACAGCCUCGGCUAGUCAGCCUUGUUCGGUUUUGAAUGGAGUGAUUCAACGGGCAUCUAAUGUGGACGGGGCUGCCACAAGGAUUCAAGGACUCCCCUACCAUCCUUGAUGAAGCAUUCCAUGAAGACCUGGAUACUUGGCAACUGAUGCCUUGCUCAGAGAGCUGGACCAGAUGGGAUAUUGAGUGUCUGCAAAGAAGGCUCUGCCCAAAGGAGACCUGGCAUCAAAUUCGUGAGUUCCUGGGUUCAGCAGGAUUCACAGAGAUUGCAAAGCCACUAGGGGGCAGGGCAGCACCUUAAAGUGGACUUCUGAGAUGAACAAAGCUUUUCAAAGGCUCAAGGAAGCACUGCUGGGCACUUGCCCUGCCAGACACCUAUACGCCGUAUGUAGAUGAGAGCAAAGGUGUAGUCAAAGGGGUACAGACUCAGACCCUGGGUCCUUGGAAGAGGCCAGUGGCCUAUCUGUCUAAGAAAUUGGACUCUGUUGCAUGAGGGUGGCCAGCUUGCCUAGUAUUGUGGCAGCUGCCGUGUUGCUGGCCAAGGAUGCAGAUAAGAUCACCAUGAGACAAGAACUGACUCUAACCACCUCUCAUGCCAUCCAGGGAGUAUUCAACGCCCGCC
rnacentral:sRNA from 1 species